rnacentral:rRNA from 1 species
UACGAAGGGGGCUAGCGUUGCUCGGAAUCACUGGGCGUAAAGCGCACGUAGGCGGCUUUUUAAGUCAGGGGUGAAAUCCUGGAGCUCAACUCCAGAACUGCCUUUGAUACUGGGAAGCUUGGGUCCGGAAGAGGUGAGUGGAACUCCGAGUGUAGAGGUGAAAUUCGUAGAUAUUCGGAAGAACACCAGUGGCGAAGGCGGCUCACUGGUCCGGUACUGACGCUGAGGUGCGAAAGCGUGGGGAGCAAACAGG